UAUCAUUAUUUUUCUAAGAGUGUCAGUUAUAGGCCUACCACUGUUAUGAACGUUCCACUGUUCCGAGCGUUCUCCUGUUAUGAGUGUUACACGAUUACAAACAUUAUAUUAUUAUUAUUACGAUCAGUUUGCCGUUACGAGCGAUGAAUUGUUACGAGCGUUCCCUGUUAUUCUUAUUGGUUACGGCAGCUGGGGGGAGAGUCAGGCUUGCCAUCUCUCUCUCUGCCAGUUAAGGAAAUGUGGAAAUACUUCUCUAAUCUAUUUCUAACACUGUCAUCUGAAUUUAUUACAUACUCUAACCCGUCCGCUGUGAUUGGCACGGAUUUGCCUUUUACUGGUAGCCUGGUAACACAAUAGUCCCAGGUCUUUCUCUCCCUCUGUGGUGGGUAGUGGAGUGUUUCCCAUGUGGUAUUGGUGUGCUGGAUAUCCCUUCACUGGUAGCCUGGUAACAUACACUCCCAGGUCUUUCUCUCCCUCUGUGGUGGGUAGUGGAGUGUUUCCCAUGUGGUAUUGGUGUGCUGGAUAUCCCUUCACUGGUAGCCUGGUAACAUACACUCCCAGGUCUUUCUCUGCCUCUGUGGUGGAUAGUGGAGUGUUUCCCAUGUGGUAUUGGUGUGCUGGAUAUCCCUUCACUGGUAGCCUGGUAAUGUACACUCCCAGGUCUUUCUCUGGCUCUGUGGUGGAUAGUGGAGUGUUUCCCAUGUGGUAUUGGCAUGCUGGAUAUCCCCUCCCAAGGUGUAGGACUUUACAUUUUUCUUCAUUGAAUUGUAACAGCCAUUUUUUGUUCCAUUCCUGUAGCUUGGUGAGGUCUGACUGUAGGAAAUCCACAGUUAAGGGGUUAAUACCAUGUUUUUUUGCCAAUACUGCUCAGGACAUGUAACACAGCUUCAAUGCUCUCCUUACGUAACUCCUUGGUAUUAAUCUAGUCUUUCAGUAACAAGAGUUUUCACCAGUACCUCCCAGGACAUGUAACACAGCUUCAAUGCUCUCCUUACGUAACUCCUUGGUAUUAAUCUAGUCUUUCAGUAACAAGGUUUUUCACCAGUACCUCCCAGGACAUGUAACACAGCUUCAUUCCUCUCCUUACGUAACUCCUUGGUAUUAAUCUAGUCUUUCAGUAACAAGAUUUUUCACCAGUACUUCCUAAGACAUGUGACACUCCUUCUUGGACUGAAAAUAGUGCCUUUGACAUGUGGUGGCACUCCUGUCCUGUCCUAGCACAACAGUUUUGAUUAAAUAUAAUACUACAGGAUCAUAAUUCCUUGCCUCUACCGCCCAGAACAUUUGGCACUCUUUCUGCCCUGCCCUGCCAUCCCAAUUUUAUAUAACUCAUUUGAUACUUGACUACCAGAGUGCCUUGCCAAUAUAGCCUGGAAAAUGUGUCUCCUCUUCUGUUCUCUCCUUGCAACACUGCCAGAACUCAAAUGCAGUGUUGCAAUAUAUAGUUCUGCUCAACAUUUUCACCAAGGCAGCAACUCUCCACCAGAAACUCAACAUUGUUUUUAUUCCUAUACUGCCCAGGAGAUGUGGUUCUGGGGGCGUUCUCUCCUUGCAACACAGCCACAGACUCAGGUCACACACACUCUUCAGUAGAAAUUUCCACCAUCUACCAGGACUCAAAUGUAGUGUUGCAAUAUCUAGGUUCUUCUUGUCACCACUGCAACAACCAUCUACCAUCUACCAGGACUCAAAUGUAGUGUUGCAAUAUCUAGGUUCUUCUUGUCAUCACUGCAACAACCAUCUACCAUCUACCAGGACUCAAAUGUAGUGUUUCAAUAUCUAGUUACUUCUUGUUAUCACUGCAACAACCAUCUACCAUCUACCAGGACUCAAAUGUAGUGUUGCAAUAUCUAGUUACUUCUUGUCACCACUGCAACAACCAUCUACCAUCUACCAGGACUCAAAUGUAGUGUUGCAAUAUCUAGUUACUUCUUGUCAUCACUGCAACAACCAUCUACCAUCUACCAGGACUCAAAUGUAGUGUUGCAAUAUCUAGUUACUUCUUGUCAUCACUGCAACAACCAUCUACCAUCUACCAGGACUUAGAUGUAGUGUUGCAAUAUCUAGUUACUUCUUAUCAACACUGCAACAACCAUUUCACCAAGGCAGUAACUCUUCACUUUAUAGAAAUUUCGACACUCCUGCUUGUGGUCAGGUCUCUGUUGGUUCAGUCUCCCAUCAAACGGAAGGUCGCGGUCUCAAGUUCUUAACCCAGUAGCAGCGACGGGCCAAAUUUGUGGCUUCACUGUGUAGCAGCGACGGGCCAAAUUUGUGGCUUCACCGUGUAGCAGCGACGGGCCAAAUUUGUGGCUUCACCGUGUAGCAGCGACGGGCCAAAUUUGUGGCUUCACUGUGUAGCAGCAACGGGCCAAAUUUGUGGCUUCACUGUAUAGCAGCAACGGGCCAAAUUUGUGGCUUCACUGUGUAGCAGCAACGGGCCAAAUUUGUGGCUUCACCGUGUAGCAGCGACAGGACAAAUUUGUGCCAUGAUCAGAAAUGCUUUGAUAUAUAUUAUGAAAUGUUUGGGUGAGGGGUGAUUUUUUCUCAUUUUUCUCGCUUGGAGGGACCAUUAAGAAACACGAUCCCCGCUGCUGCUGGGUUAAGCUGACUAGGAGUGAUUAGCUCCUGCGGCCGGGGCAAAACCUUCACUGGCCGGAGGUUGAAGUGAGAUGAUGUUUUUAAGGACAUUUUUAGGAACAUCGGAAGAAAUGGGGGCUUUUUUUUUCUCUCUAAUUGUUGUUUCCUUUUUUUUGUGUCCUUGUGCUGUCUACUUUGCGCACACACACACACACACACACACACACACACCAUACAUAUAAGUUUUUCGGGGUGAGAAAGACACAAAAUUAAUACCGUUGUAGAUAGUGAGAGAUAUUUACCUAACUUAUUGAAUUUAUUGAUAUCGAGUUAUGAUGAUUUUACUGUGAUAAGCCUUCUUCUUGUCCUAAUUCUAUUGCUACGUGUAUUUAUAAAGAAAAGGAUUAAUA